rnacentral:rRNA from 1 species
AUGAACGCUGGCGGCUUGCCUAAUACAUGCAAGUCGAGCGAACAGACGAGGAGCUUGCUCCUCUGACGUUAGCGGCGGACGGGUGAGUAACACGUGGAUAACCUACCUAUAAGACUGGGAUAACUUCGGGAAACCGGAGCUAAUACCGGAUAAUAUAUUGAACCGCAUGGUUCAAUAGUGAAAGACGGUUUUGCCGUCACUUAUAGAUGGAUCCGCGCCGCAUUAGCUAGUUGGUAAGGUAACGGCUUACCAAGGCGACGAUGCGUAGCCGACCUGAGAGGGUGAUCGGCCACACUGGAACUGAGACACGGUCCAGACUCCUACGGGAGGCAGCAGUAGGGAAUCUUCCGCAAUGGGCGAAAGCCUGACGGAGCAACGCCGCGUGAGUGAUGAAGGUCUUCGGAUCGUAAAACUCUGUUAUUAGGGAAGAACAAAUGUGUAAGUAACUAUGCACGUCUUGACGGUACCUAAUCAGAAAGCCACGGCUAACUACGUG